AACGAACGCUGGCGGCAUGCUUAACACAUGCAAGUCGAACGAGUCCGGGGGCUUGCUCCCGGGCUAGUGGCGAACGGGUGAGUAACGCGUGGGAACCUGCCUUGGAGUGGGGGAUAACCACUGGAAACGGUGGCUAAUACCGCAUGUGGCCCGAGGGCCAAAGCCUUGGAUUUCGGUCCGGGGCGCUUCGAGAGGGGCCCGCGUCCGAUUAGCUUGUUGGUGGGGUAACGGCCUACCAAGGCGUCGAUCGGUAGCNGGUCUGAGAGGAUGAUCAGCCACACUGGGACUGCGACACGGCCCAGACUCCUACGGGA
rnacentral:rRNA from 1 species